rnacentral:rRNA from 1 species
UACGGAGGGUGCAAGCGUUGUUCGGAUUCAUUGGGCGUAAAGAGUGUGUAGGCGGUUCUCCAAGUUCGGUGUGAAAUCUCCCGGCUCAACUGGGAGGGUGCGCCGAAAACUGGAGGGCUUGAGUAUGGGAGAGGAAAGCGGAAUUCCUGGUGUAGCGGUGAAAUGCGUAGAUAUCAGGAGGAACACCUGCGGUGUAGACAGCUUUCUGGACCAUCACUGACGCUGAGACACGAAAGCGUGGGUAGCAAACAGG